rnacentral:rRNA from 1 species
CAGUCGCCCGGGAAUACAGAGGGUGCGAGCGUUAAUCGGAUUUACUGGGCGUAAAGCGUGCGUAGGCGGCUUUUUAAGUCGGAUGUGAAAUCCCUGAGCUUAACUUAGGAAUUGCAUUCGAUACUGGGAAGCUAGAGUAUGGGAGAGGAUGGUAGAAUUCCAGGUGUAGCGGUGAAAUGCGUAGAGAUCUGGAGGAAUACCGAUGGCGAAGGCAGCCAUCUGGCCUAAUACUGACGCUGAGGUACGAAAGCAUGGGGAGCAAACAGGAUUAGAUACCCCUGUAGUCCCUGUCUCUUAUACA